CUGACAAUGCAAGAUUGUGAGAGAAUGUAUAGUGUCCAUUUAUUGCUUUAAACUUUUAUUGAGGAGUCAAGUACCUACAAGAGUUAACCCACCAUUUGAGCAAUCAUUGAAUGGGGAGAGCAGAUGUGUUAAACGUGUCGUACCAUGCUUAACCAGUGUAUCUGUUUUUGAUGUGGGGUAAAAUCAUCACCUGUUUAUGGUCAAGGAGGGCACAUUGCCCGAAAGAACCACAUGCCAUGGGGAUAACAUAGCCUUCGC
rnacentral:lncRNA from 1 species